rnacentral:lncRNA from 1 species
GAAUAUACCUCCCACCAUAUGGGCAGAAAGUAGAGUAGGCAUAAUCAACAAGAUACUGGUUUUGAGCCUAGGCCUGAAGAGGUAUUAUGUGUUGCCACUUGCCACUAUCAUGGCCAUGAGAAGAACAUACCUGAGUUAACCCACUGAUAAAAACAAAGUGCAAGAUUCAAGGAAAGGUCCAGGUUGGAUCCCAGCCAAGAUCAGCCCACCUCCAACCAAUCCAUGCACAGGUAAGUGAAAUAAAUGCUUAUAUUUGUAUACUACUAAGACCUGGGAGUUUUCUUUAUACAGCAAUAGCUGCCUAGCACAAACCUGAUUAUACAGGCCACAGCUGACUGCAUCACAAACUAAUAGCUGAUCCACAGACAGGCAAGCAUGUAGCCAGAGACUUAUGAGAUUGCUGAAGGUGAGAGCCCUGCUGAACAGAGGUACCCUGUCUGCAUGAUCACGAGUACGUGUGGACCAUCCUGCCAAAUGCAAUUAAUUUUUUCUCUCAUUACUUGUCCUCAAGCAGACCCUAUUAUGGUCUAACUAACUAAAUGGAUCUUCACUCAUGGGAAAUAUGUCUGUGAGACAACCUGAGAGAGACAGAGAAGAGGGAGUCCCCCAAACUGAAAAAUGUAUGAAGGAAGGCAGUGAGAAGAAGCCAUGAGGCAACAGAAACCACAAAUGAUCAGAAGGUGCAGCAAGAGAAUUGAGUAGAGAGGUGCCAUUCAGGAAGAGUGCGGGAGGAAGGAGCUUGAGGACCGGGAGGCAGAGAUGGAGAAUCUGGGUCUGGGGCAGUGGGUGGUAGUGAUGAUGCUGAAGGUAGAGCAGGGUCACCAGAACUAAGGUCGAACUACUAGAGCAACUGUCCUGUCCUGAAUAGUGGGCUUUCCCAAUAUAGACCUGAAAAGGGGAUUCGGCCUUUGGACCUGAUGGACUAAGAGUGGGCCAUGAGCAGGCAACUUAUUUGCAAUCAACACACAAGUUGAUCACUAAUGAGUCUGAGAGAGGUACUUUUUUAUGUAUUUUUUUUGAGUUGAUGAUUGAAGUGUAGGACCACUUAACCACUGAGCUUUUUGUUCCCCGCCCCCCAGAACUUUAAAAAAAAUUUUUUUUGAGAUCAAGGUCUUCUAAAGUUGCUUAAAGCCUCACUAAGUUGCUGAGGUCUCAAACUUGCAAUCCUCCUGUCUCAGCCUCCUUCCCAAGUUGCUGGGAUUUCAGAUGUGCAUCACCAUACCUGGCAAUAUGGUAGGACAAGGGUCCUUAAAGUCAGGGUCUCAUACAUAUUAGGCAAGCCCUCUACCACUGAGCCAUAUCCCCCAGCCCAAGUUGGUACUUCUUUUGAGGACAAGUAAUGAGAGAAAAAAAAUUAAUUUUGUUUGGCAGGAUGGUCCACACGUACUCAUUGUAUUAUUUUUAUGCAACUCUGGAUGGAUGAAAUAAUGUGAAUAAUGUUUCAAGACAUUAUAGGAGGUCUGAAAUUUUUUCUUCAAAACAAGGGGAGAGCACAUCAUCCCAAAGACUGAAAGGAAGAGACAGAUCUCUGAAAAAAUAUUUACUGUGGCAUUUGGAAAAUUUUCAGGAAGGUUUUCAAUGACAUCAUUAGGAUUCUUCCAGUAAGAGCCAGAAAGAAUGACUAAGAUGAAAAGGUGCUACUAAACUAGGUGUGGUGGUGCACACUUGUAGUCCAGCUACUUGGGAAGCUGAGGCAGGAGGUUUACAAAUUUGAGGCCAGCCUCAACAAUUUAGCAAGACCCUGUCUCAAUAUAAAAAAUAAAAUGGACCAUAGGACAUAGCUCAGUGUUAGAGCACUUGCCAAGCAUACAUGAGGCCCUGGGUUUGAUCUUCAGUACCACAAAAUAAGUUAAUAAAUAAAAUUUUUAAAAUAAAUAAAAGGGCUAGGGAUAUAACUCAGUAGUAAAGUACCCCUAGUUUCAACCUUCAGUACAAUAAAAACAACAACAAAAAAAGACAAAAGUUGGUCUGACCAGAGAUUUCUCUGUAAUGCCAAAUGUCACAAGACCAAGGAGUGUUAUCUAUAGCUAUGUCAAAAACAAAAAAGUCAUGACUCAAUUAGUAUGUACAUGUCCAAAUUUAUGCCUAGCGUCAUAUGAUCAUGUGGCUCUUUGCGUAAAGGACAACAGAACUGCAUUUCUGAGAAUGUCUGGAUUUGGAAAUAUCACUGUAUCUCCUUCUCCUUUUGUGGGAAAUUAUUUUAACUCACCAGGAGAUGAAGUAAAAUCAAAACUCCCAAAUGGGGAAGUCUAAAUCAUUUAUAUAAAUCUGGUUGCAGACUUGGAUAUGUUUCCCUCAAAAAGUUCUUUUAAAGACAGAAUAUAUAAUCUCAAUUCUAAAAAAUGAUAUUAAGAGUGUCCAGAUGUCAAUCAUUUCUUGCCUGCCAUGACCUGAGUCUAUUUUAAGAAACUACCACGUAACAGGAAACCCAUCUCUCUGUUGGGUUGGGUGGUAAAGUGCUUUCCUAGCAUGUGAGAAGCCCCAGAGGGAUUCAAUUCAGUCCUAAAAACAAACAAACAAACAAACAACCCCACACUGAAACAAAAGGGGAACUUACUGGUUUGGGUAAUCAAAACAUCUAAAGGUAGAUCUAACAUGAUUGCAGUCUGAUCCAGAAAUUCAAGGUGUCAUCACAUUAUACCACCAGCAGCCAGGGAAUUUCUUCUUGGCUUUCUCUAAAGACAAAGGGAGUUUUUUCUGUUGCCCAGAAAACUUCUCCUUUGCUUGGUUCAGAUUCAGUGCCUGUCUCUGACCCAGCACUGUGAACAGGUAACAUGCUGAAGUCAACAUGCUAAUUGACAUAAGUCACUCAGGGACCACUCUACAGCAGGAGGAAUUCUUCACCACUAAGAUAGGAAAUUAGGGGAACUAUUAGGAAGGAAGAAGUAUGGAAUGGAUAGUGGGGAGGCACAAUAAAUGUGUCUUCCCAGGGAAUCUAUCUAAAAUUCAUGAUCCUAUAUCCCUGGUCAUAGCUGAGUAGACCACAUACCUGCCCCAGUAUAUGACAGAGGUGGUGAGUCAGCACCAUUCUUAUGUUUCUUUGUUUCGAGAUGGGGGUCUGGCUGUGUUGCCCAGUCUGACCUUGAACUCCUGAGCUCUAGGGAUGCCCCUGCCCCAGCCUCCCAGUAGUUGGGUCUACAAGUGCAUGCCACCACACCCAGCUCCAUUCUUUUGUUUUUAUGUAGUGAUAUAGACUUUUUAGCUAGGCACAUGACUGUUUGGCUAAAGAUUAUAUUUGCCAGAUUCCCAUGCAGCUAACUGGGGCUUUGUGACCACAGUUGUGGUCUACAGGAAGGGGUAGAAAUGGUGUGUUCGACUUUGGUGCUACACUCUAGGAAUUAAGCAGGCCUUCACAUUUUCCUUCUUCUUGGCUAGAAUACAGGUGUGAAGUUGAGCCUUUUGAACCAUGUGGAUGAAGGGAGCCUCUGGAGAUGGUGAAAGAACACUAUCCGAGAAGCCUGGAUACCUGAAUGACCUUGAGGAACACAAGCAUUGUUAUAACUGUGGUCCACUUGCCUCUUUACUGUUUUGUGAGCAAGAAAUAAACUCCUAUCUUAUUUGAGAUGUUGUUAAUUUGGGUAUCUGUUAUAAGCAGCCAAAGUUACAUCCUAACUAAUGUACAGAGGCAAUCCAUAAACUGUGUGGCAGGUUGAAAGACACAAUUAGAUUUGCUUUCAUAUAGGAUGUAAACUGACAAUAAAAAAUGGGAAAUGUGUUAGUUAUUUUGGACCUACACUUGGUUACAAGGAUGCCAUCAGAUUGAGUCAGUGCCAGUAUUGAUUCCUUAAAUGUUAACCAUAUCAUGCAUUUUUGUACAUUUUAAUACCUCUGACAUGAGGAUAUAUCAUACAAUGGAUUGUGUCUUGUAAACAUUGUAUAUUUUGCCUACAUUUGUGAGAAUUUGAUCAUAGUUGUUUGUGUUCUUAUCAAUGCAACUGAAUUAUGCAUCCUAUUGAUUUUGUACUUCUUGAGUUAAGAUGCAGUUUGAAAUGGUCUUCAAGAGGCACAAUACCAUUUACAUUAGCUCUACUGUUAAAAAAAUUAAGUGUAUGUAUAUAUUUUUGCUUUGUUUUGUUUUGAAAUGUGGUCUUGAUACAUUGCAUAAACUGGCCUGGAACUCCUGGGCUCAAGUGUUCUUCCUGCCUCAGCCUCCUGAAUAGCUGGGACUAUAGCCAUAUACCACCAUGGCUCCAACUAAAUGUGUAUGUGUGUGGUUUUUUUUUUGUGUGUGUGUGUACAUUCCUAGCACAUUAGACAGUGAAAUACAAUCACAUGUCACUUAAACAUGGGCUAUGUUCUAAUAAAUGCAUUGCUAAAUGAUUUUGUCAUUAGAAGAACAGCAUAGGAUGUAUUUUUUGCACAAACUAAAAUGACUGUGACAUCACUAGGCAAUAAAAUCUUAUGGGACCAC